ensembl:lncRNA
GGAUUACAAUACGGGGAUGUCCAUGAUGCUUUACAAUCAGAAUGAGUUUUUCAUUGGUUUCACCCAAUAAAGCCCAAAGACAGCUGCCCCCAACGGUGCAGAUCAGCCCAGUCCAUCCGUAUCGAGUGGCCCCUGCCAGGACUAGACCCCUGGAAUGACAACCGCCGAGCCAGCCCAGUGACUCCUGGCCUCCCCUGUUAUUUCCCCAGCGGCUUCCCGACAUGCAAAUAUCAAUGACCUGCCAAUCAGUCCACGGCUCAUUUUAUUCGACCCCAAUCCCCGCCAACAGCUGUUGGAAAAGCCCCACCAUUAUUGACUCUGUUGUUUGUGAAGUGUCCUUUGAGUGUACUUCACUCUCCCAGUUUUCAGACUCUUGGGGACUUUGGUGUGUUUUUCGCCGCCGGUUUUUCCACAAUUUCCCUGGCUGUUGAAUUUAUUAUGAAGGCUUUUUCGUGUCUCGCUUUCUCCUCCGUUGGGAAGCGCAUCUUGAUAAUGCUGUCAGAGGAAACGGCGGGUGUCUGUUUGGAAACCUUGUCCCGCUUCCGUUGACCAAAAAGAGGUCUGACACGUCACGCGCACACAGGAAUGAGAUCAAGUGUUUUUACGAGCUGUUGGGAGUUGUUGGGGUUGCCGGGGGCCUUGGGUCACACAGAAGACAUUUUUCACUGCAACCAUUGCCCGCGUAGCAAACAGACCAUGUGGUACCCGACCACAAGGUUACAAAGAGUCUGUGUGGUACUCACACACGCACGCACACACUCAUUGUAAACCGGUAACACAAAUAGACUGGGUGAUACACAAACGCACCAUUACAAAUAGACUAUGUGGUACACAAACACAAGUUUACAAAGAAUCAGUGUGGUAACAACAGACACACACACACACACUCACACACACACACACACACACACACACACACACACACACACACACACACACACACACACACACACACACACACACACACACACACACACACACACACACACACACACACACACACACACACACACACACACACACACACACACACACACACACACACACAAACAGACAGUGUGUUACGCAAACACACCGUCAACCAUUACAUACAAAUCGUCUGUGUGGUACGCAAUUACACCGUCAAAUGUAACAAACAGAGACCACGUGGUACACCAACACACCGUCAACAGUAAAAACAGACACGCGUAGUACACAAAUAUACGGUUCACCGUAACAAACAGACUGCAUGCUAAACAUACAGCCCUCCUCUGCUACGGAGGAUGGGUGUAUCCUGGGGUUUGUGUGGUACACAAACACACAAAAAACGUUUGUUUGACGCCGUUAGCUGUAUUGGCUGCAUAGCUAAUACACGUACAUAAUUAUACAGUUAGCUGCUGUAGUACUCAAAUAGACGAUAGUACAGCCUGCUAGUUUUCCUCUGCUAGCAGUAUACACACACAUCCAGUUAUAUGUAGUGCACAAACACAUCAUUAACUGUAGUAAACAAACACUCUCACAGUAGUAGAUACACAACCAUCCAGUCAACCAUGGAGCUUUGAUGUUUGCUGGACACACACACACACACACACACACACACACACACACACACACACACACACACACACACACACACACACACACACACACACACACACACACACACACACACACACAGUAACACACAAACAGACACACACAAACAGACACACACACAAAUGCACAUCCCUCCUUCACUUCCCACUCAUCUGCAGAUGCACACACAUGCAUCUCUCCUUCUCUGCCCACUCUGCCUCACUGUCACCCUGCCUCUUAUCUCUCUCCGUCGCUCUUUUUCUCUCACUAACGAACAAACACACACACAACCCCCCCCCCCACACACACACACACACACACACACACACACACACACACACACACACACACACACACACACACACACACACACACACACACACACACACACACACACACACACACACACA